rnacentral:rRNA from 1 species
UACGUAGGUGGCAAGCGUUGUCCGGAAUUAUUGGGCGUAAAGCGCGCGCAGGCGGCUUCUUAAGUCUGAUGUGAAAUCUUGCGGCUCAACCGCAAGCGGUCAUUGGAAACUGGGAGGCUUGAGUGCAGAAGAGGAGAGUGGAAUUCCACGUGUAGCGGUGAAAUGCGUAGAGAUGUGGAGGAACACCAGUGGCGAAGGCGACUCUUUGGCCUGUAACUGACGCUGAGGCGCGAAAGCGUGGGGAGCAAACAGG